CAUUGACCUCGGAUCAGGUAGGGAUACCCGCUGAACUUAAGCAUAUCAAUAAGCGGAGGAAAAGAAACCAACAGGGAUUGCCUCAGUAACGGCGAGUGAAGCGGCAACAGCUCAAAUUUGAAAUCUGGCUCUUUCAGGGUCCGAGUUGUAAUUUGUAGAAGAUGUUUCGGGUGAGGCGCCGGUCUAAGUCCCUUGGAACAGGGUGUCAUAGAGGGUGAGAAUCCCGUAUGUGACCGGUGACCGAGUCCAUGUGAAACUCCUUCGACGAGUCGAGUUGUUUGGGAAUGCAGCUCAAAAUGGGUGGUAAAUUUCAUCUAAAGCUAAAUACCGGCCAGAGACCGAUAGCGCACAAGUAGAGUGAUCGAAAGAUGAAAAGCACUUUGGAAAGAGAGUUAAAAAGUACGUGAAAUUGUUGAAAGGGAAGCGCUUGCAACCAGACCUGCCUGUGGACGUUCAGCGGGGGUUCUCCCCCGUGCACUCGUUCGCAAACAGGCCAGCAUCGGUUUGGGUGGCCGGAUAAAGGCCCCAGGAAUGUAGCUCCCUCCGGGGAGUGUUAUAGCCUGGGGUGCAAUACGGCCAACCGGGACCGAGGACCGCGCUUCGGCUAGGAUGCUGG
rnacentral:rRNA from 1 species